GGUAUAGCUCAGUGGUAGAGUGUGUGCUUAGCAUGCACAAGGUCCUGGGUUCAAUCCCCAGUACC
rnacentral:tRNA from 1 species